UGGUAGGCUAGUUUUGUAGACUGAAGCAC
rnacentral:piRNA from 1 species